UAGGGAAUCUUCGGCAAUGGGGGCAACCCUGACCGAGCAACGCCGCGUGAGUGAAGAAGGUUUUCGGAUCGUAAAGCUCUGUUGUAAGUCAAGAACGGGUGUGAGAGUGGAAAGUUCACACUGUGACGGUAGCUUACCAGAAAGGGACGGCUAACUACGUGCCAGCAGCCGCGGUAAUACGUAGGUCCCGAGCGUUGUCCGGAUUUAUUGGGCGUAAAGCGAGCGCAGGCGGUUUGAUAAGUCUGAAGUUAAAGGCUGUGGCUCAACCAUAGUUCGCUUUGGAAACUGUCAAACUUGAGUGCAGAAGGGGAGAGUGGAAUUCCAUGUGUAGCGGUGAAAUGCGUAGAUAUAUGGAGGAACACCGGUGGCGAAAGCGGCUCUCUGGUCUGUAACUGACGCUGAGGCUCGAAAGCGUGGGGAGCGAACAGGAUUAGAUACCCUGGUAGUCCACGCCGUAAACGAUGAGUGCUAAGUGUUGGGAGGCUUCCGCCUCUCAGUGCUGCAGCUAACGCAUUAAGCACUCCGCCUGGGGGAGUACGACCGCAAGGUUGAAAC
rnacentral:rRNA from 1 species